UACAGAGGUCCCGAGCGUUGUUCGGAUUCACUGGGCGUAAAGGGUGCGCAGGUGGCUUGACAAGUUUGAUGUGAAAUCUCCGGGCCCAACCCGGAAAAUGCAUUGAAUACUGUUGAGCUUGAGGUUUGGAGGGGGACUGGAAUUCUCGGUGUAGCAGUGAAAUGCGUAGAUAUCGAGAGGAACACCAGUGGCGAAGGCGAGUCCCUGGACAACACCUGACACUGAGGCGCGAAAGCGUGGGGAGCGAUCCGG
rnacentral:rRNA from 1 species